UAGGAAGUGGUGUAGUGGAAGCACCAAGAGUUUUGAUCUCUUUGGGUAGGGUUCGAGUCCCUUCUUUCUAA
rnacentral:tRNA from 1 species